rnacentral:rRNA from 1 species
UGCCCUUUGUACGGAAUAGCCUCUGGAAACGGAGAGUAAUACCGUAUGAGCCCUUCGGGGAAAGAUUUAUCGGUGAAGGAUUAGCCCGCGUCUGAUUAGAUAGUUGGUGGGGUAACGGCCUACCAAGUCGACGAUCAGUAGCUGGUUUGAGAGGAUGAUCAGCAACACUGGGACUGAGACACGGCCCAGACUCCUACGGGAGGCAGCAGUGGGGAAUCUUAGACAAUGGGCGCAAGUGAUCUAGCCAUGCCGCGUGAGUGACGAAGGCCUUAGGGUCGUAAAGCUCUUUCGCCAGGGAUGAUAAUGACAGUACCUGGUAAAGAAACCCCGGCUAACUCCGUGCCAGCAGCCGCGGUAAUACGGAGGGGGUUAGCGUUGUUCGGAAUUACUGGGCGUAAAGCGCGCGUAGGGGACUGGAAAGUUGGGGGUGAAAUCCCAGGGCUCAACCCUGGAACUGCCUCCAAAACUAUCAGUCUAGAGUUCGAGAGAGGUGAGUGGAAUUCCGAGUGUAGAGGUGAAAUUCGUAGAUAUUCGGAGGAACACCAGUGGCGAAGCGGCUCACUGGCUCGAUACUGACGCUGAGGUGCGAAAGUGUGGGGAGCAAACAGGAUUAGAUACCCUGGUAGUCCACACCGUAAACGAUGAAUGCCAGUCGUCGGG